AGAGUUUGAUCAUGGCUCAGGACGAACGCUGGCGGCGUGCUUAACACAUGCAAGUCGAACGGUGACGGAGGAGCUUGCUCCUCCUGAUCAGUGGCGAACGGGUGAGUAACACGUGAGCAACCUACCCUCGACUCUGGGAUAACUUCGAGAAAUCGGAGCUAAUACCGGAUACGAGACGCGCAGGCAUCUGCAGCGUCUGGAAAGAUUUAUCGGUCGGGGAUGGGCUCGCGGCCUAUCAGCUAGUUGGUGAGGUAACGGCUCACCAAGGCGACGACGGGUAGCCGGCCUGAGAGGGCGACCGGCCACACUGGGACUGAGACACGGCCCAGACUCCUACGGGAGGCAGCAGUGGGGAAUAUUGCACAAUGGGCGAAAGCCUGAUGCAGCGACGCCGCGUGGGGGAUGAAGGCCUUCGGGUUGUAAACCCCUUUCAGCAGGGAAGAAGCGAAAGUGACGGUACCUGCAGAAGAAGCGCCGGCUAACUACGUGCCAGCAGCCGCGGUAAUACGUAGGGCGCAAGCGUUGUCCGGAAUUAUUGGGCGUAAAGAGCUCGUAGGCGGUUUGUCGCGUCUGCUGUGAAAACCCGAGGCUCAACCUCGGGCCUGCAGUGGGUACGAGCAGACUAGAGUGCGGUAGGGGAGACUGGAAUUCCUGGUGUAGCGGUGGAAUGCGCAGAUAUCAGGAGGAACACCGAUGGCGAAGGCAGGUCUCUGGGCCGCAACUGACGCUGAGGAGCGAAAGCAUGGGGAGCGAACAGGAUUAGAUACCCUGGUAGUCCAUGCCGUAAACGUUGGGCACUAGGUGUGGGGCUCAUUCCACGAGUUCCGUGCCGCAGCUAACGCAUUAAGUGCCCCGCCUGGGGAGUACGGCCGCAAGGCUAAAACUCAAAGGAAUUGACGG
rnacentral:rRNA from 1 species